GGAGAAAUCAAGUGGUAAGAGUCAAGAUGUCCAAAGAGAAUCAGAACCUCUGAGAGAAAAGGUUACCCAGCUUUUGCCUCAAAAUGUUCACAGUCCCAACUCAAUAAGCAAGCCCCAGAAAGGGGGACCCCUCAACAAGGAGUACACGAACUGGGAGGCUAAAGAAACAAAGGCAAAGGAUGGCCCUAGCACACAGGCCACCCAGAAAAGCCUGCCUCGGGGGCAUUUCCAAGAGCAGCUGGAGACCCACGGUGUGCCUGCUCCUGGAGGACCAGCGGCUCAGGCUGCACCAGCAGCACCAGGGCUUUCCCUGGGUGAGGGCCGUGAAGCUGCCACAAGCAGUGAUGACGAGGAGGAAGAUGAUGUUGUUUUUGUUUCCUCUAAGCCUGGGAGCCCCCUACUCUUUGACUCGACUCUGGACUUAGAGAUGAAGGAAAACCUCCAAUUCCCUGAUCGAAGUGUGCAAAGAAAGGUGUCUCCUGCCUCAGGUGUUUCCAAGAAGGUAGAACCCUCAGACCCAGUAGCCCGGCGUGUCUACCUUACGACACAACUGAAACAAAAGAAGAGCACACUGGCAUCAGUGAACAUCCAGGCUCUUCCAGACAAGGGUCAAAAGUUGAUCAAACAAAUCCAGGAGCUGGAGGAAGUACUCAGUGGUCUUGCCCUUUCCCCAGAGCAAGGUAAAGUGGCUUAUGCCUCAGAACUCCGGGUUUGCAUGGACUUUACAAGAGACAUUCGGGAAGCCCUUUUAAUAAAGAAUGUGUUGAUUCAUUCA
rnacentral:sRNA from 1 species